GGCAAAGAUCUCUGGUGAUGGUGAUGAUUUCCAUAAUCUUGUCACCUUAAUUGCUGCUGUCACUAGCACCGCUUUUAGAAUCUGCAUACUAUUCCACCCUAUAGAGAUUCAUGGAAUCACGACUACACUCAAAAUACAGAGCUAUGUCAUCAUCAUAAAGGUAUCCCAUGUUACCCCUUUAUAUUUCCACCCCGUCUUUAUACCUUGGCAACAACUAAUAAUAUGUCUCCUCUGUAUAGCUUUGUCGUUUCAAGAAUGUUACAUAAAUGGAAUCAUACAG